ACACUCCUACGGGAGGCGGCAGUGAGGAAUAUUGGACAAUGGGUGGAAGCCUGAUCCAGCCAUCCCGCGUGCAGGAAGACGGCCCUAUGGGUUGUAAACUGCUUUUAUCUGGGGAUAAACCUACUUACGUGUAAGUAGCUGAAGGUACCAGAAGAAUAAGCACCGGCUAACUCCGUGCCAGCAGCCGCGGUAAUACGGAGGGUGCAAGCGUUAUCCGGAUUUAUUGGGUUUAAAGGGUCCGUAGGCGGACUGAUAAGUCAGUGGUGAAAUCCGACAGCUUAACUGUCGAACUGCCAUUGAUACUGUUAGUCUUGAGUAAGGUUGAAGUGGCUGGAAUAAGUAGUGUAGCGGUGAAAUGCAUAGAUAUUACUUAGAACACCAAUUGCGAAGGCAGGUCACUAAGUCUUAACUGACGCUGAUGGACGAAAGCGUGGGGAGCGAACAGGAUUAGAAACCCCUGUAGUCCCAUGA
rnacentral:rRNA from 1 species